rnacentral:misc_RNA from 1 species
AGCAGCCGCGGUAAUUCCAGCUCCAAUAGCGUAUAUUAAAGUUGUUGCGGUUAAAAAGCUCGUAGUUGGAUUUCGGGAUCAAUAUAUCGGUCGUGCCUUCGGUACGUACUGGUAUCAUUGGUUUCUCCUUUCUGACGAACCAUGAUGUCAUUAAUUUGGUGUUAUGGGGAGUUAGGACUGUUACUUUGAAAAAAUUAGAGUGUUUAAAGCAGGCUUUAGCUUGAAUACAUUAGCAUGGAAUAAUGAAAUAGGACGUUCGAACCUAUUUUGUUGGUUUCUAGGAUCAACGUAAUGAUUAAUAGGGAUAGUUGGGGGCAUUAGUAUUCAAUUGUCAGAGGUGAAAUUCUUGGAUUAUUGAAGACUAACUAUUGCGAAAGCAUUUGCCAAGGAUGUUUUCAUUAAUCAAGAACGAAAGUUAGGGGAUCGAAGACGAUCAGAUACCGUCGUAGUCUUAACCAUAAACUAUGCCGACUAGGGAUCGGAUGAUGUUAAUUUUUUAAUGACUUUCAUUCGGCGCCUU